CCUACGGGAGGCAGCAGUGAGGAAUAUUGGUCAAUGGGCUUACGCCUGAACCAGCCAAGUCGCGUGAGGGAAGACUGCCCUAUGGGUUGUAAACCUCUUUUGUCAGGGAGCAAAGGGCGCCACGCGUGGCGUUUUGCGAGUACCUGAAGAAAAAGCAUCGGCUAACUCCGUGCCAGCAGCCGCGGUAAUACGGAGGAUGCGAGCGUUAUCCGGAUUUAUUGGGUUUAAAGGGUGCGUAGGCGGAAGGUUAAGUCAGCGGUCAAAUGUCGGUGCUCAACACCGGCCUGCCGUUGAAACUGGUCUUCUUGAGUGAGCGAGAAGUAGGCGGAAUGGGGGGUGUAGCGGUGAAAUGCAUAGAUAUCACGCAGAACUCCGAUUGCGAGGGCAGCAUACCGGCGCUCAACUGACGCUGAGGCACGAAAGCGUGGGGAUCGAACAGGAUUAGAUACCGUGUAGUC
rnacentral:rRNA from 1 species